UUUCAUGGCGGCUGUGCGCGGGAUACCUUCCUUGGAGGUAUGCCGAUUCCUCAGUUAUCGGUCCGCGAACCCGCGUACAGCUGCCACCUCA
ncrna:unclassified sequences C4 antisense RNA